rnacentral:rRNA from 1 species
GACGAACGCUGGCGGCGUGCCUAACACAUGCAAGUCGAGCGGGGAUUUAAGUGGAAGUUCUUCGGAAUGGAGAUUUAAAUUCUAGCGGCGGACGGGUGAGUAACGCGUGAACAAUCUGUCCCGGACAGGGGGAUAACACUUGGAAACAGGUGCUAAUACCGCAUAAGACCACGGCCUCGCAUGGGGCUGAGGUAAAAGGAGCAAUCCGGUUCGGGGUGAGUUCGCGUCCGAUUAGCUAGUUGGUGAGGUAACGGCCCACCAAGGCGACGAUCGGUAGCCGGCCUGAGAGGGUGAACGGCCACAUUGGAACCGAGAGACGGUCCAAACUCCUACGGGAGGCAGCAGUGGGGAAUAUUGGGCAAUGGGCGAAAGCCUGACCCAGCAACGCCGCGUGAGGGAAGAAGGUUUUCGGAUUGUAAACCUCUGUCCUAUGGGACGAAGGAAGUGACGGUACCAUAGGAGGAAGCCCCGGCUAACUACGUG